UACAGAGGGGGCAAGCGUUAUUCGGAAUUAUCGGGCGUAAAGGGCGCGUAGGCGGCCUGGCAAGUGGAAGGUGAAAUCCCUCGGCUUAACCGAGGAACUGCCCUCCAAACUGCUUGGCUUGAGUCCGGGAGAGGUGAGUGGAAUUCCCAGUGUAGCGGUGAAAUGCGUAGAUAUUGGGAGGAACACCAGUGGCGAAGGCGGCUCACUGGACCGGAACUGACGCUGAGGCGCGAAAGCGUGGGGAGCAAACAGG
rnacentral:rRNA from 1 species